UACGUAGGGUGCGAGCGUUAAUCGGAAUUACUGGGCGUAAAGCGUGCGCAGGCGGUUUUGUAAGCCAGAUGUGAAAUCCCCGGGCUUAACCUGGGAAUGGCAUUUGGGACUGCAAGGCUGGAGUGUGGCAGAGGAGACUGGAAUUCCUGGUGUAGCAGUGAAAUGCGUAGAUAUGCGGAGGAACACCGAUGGCGAAGGCAAUCCCCUGGGCCUGCACUGACGCUCAUGCACGAAAGCGUGGGGAGCAAACAG
rnacentral:rRNA from 1 species